GUCCCGUCAGCCGUCUCCGUUUGGGCCCCGCCCGCCAAACCCGCCAGCUCCGGGUCAGCGCUCUCUGCACCGAGCAGCAACCCGGCGGCUCAGCGCGGGCGAAAUCUACGAUUUUCAAAACUGAGCGCUCAGCCAAUUCUCGGCAAGUUUGUGUGGGCGGUUGCAAACCUCGAAGCCUAUCAGGUGGCGGGAAAGACUAUGGUGGACCUUCAUUGGCUGCUCACAUCAUCAAUUUGCGGGACUAAGGGCGGGAAAAGGAAGCGCAGACGUUUUAACCCUCCUCGGCUUCCGGAGCGGGAAGAAGUCCCCGGCCGGGCAGGCGCGUGAUGCCGGAACUACACGUCCCGGCGUGCACUGCGCGAGAGGGCGAAGCUGGGUCCCAGGCGACGGCUUUGCAAUCUCUUCCUCUUUGGAGAAACGCGGAGAAAAUGCCUGGCGCUUGGCCAGCAGCUUGACAUAGCCUCUCUGUUGGCCUGGAAGAUGCAUCUGGUUAGACUCAACAUGCGCAGUAUGCAUCUUGCUGUGUUAUGCUGUGUGAAUCUCGUGUUCCUCGGAAACUUCCACACUCAAGACAAUGGCAGCCACAUGCUCUGGAGCUGGUCACUUCAGGGAUGCCUUGAGGACAUAGGACUCAAGAAGAAAUUAGAAGGGAUGCCGAUUUCUUUCUCUUGUUUCACAUGGGGAACUCAAUAUCAGCAUCUCUCACUCCUCUGGAAUGCAUUUUAA
rnacentral:lncRNA from 1 species